UGUGCGAAGGCUGGGCGCUUCCGGAAUCAUACAGCUCAACAACAUCGGUGUCGUGCACAACGUACAGACGCGUUUGUUUCAGGACAAUAUUUCGUGUACAGACGGUAAAAAUAAACACCAAUAAACAAUGGUAUGACUUCUGAUUAAAGCCGGCUCCUACGUGGUGCGCAAAAUCAGUGCAGCCCUUAAACAGGGAGAACAGCCUGACCAACCUGUGCUCACACCAUGUAGUCUGGCUAAAGGUAAAAAAGAGCUCUAUGCCGGGGAUGCAGCAUUAAUGUCGAAUCCAGAACCUGAGGGGGUUGCUGGCUCAUCUGCAUUUGCGCCUGCAGUGACAGCUGUGCAGAAUUGUGGUUCCUGAGGUUAAAGGUCAUGCAGAAGCAAAUCUGGGCACACAAAGGGUCAACAUUGCUGAAAAACUCUGCAUUCCACCUAAAGCAGACAUAACCAACCAGCGAUGCCAGAAAAAAAAUGCUGGUCAAACAAAUUUGCUGGUUGAACAGCACAAAACCAGCACUAACAUUUCAGCAAAGUUUUUAUAUCAGCAUUGUGAAAUAUGACACCAAACCAGUUUUGCUCUGCAUGACCUUUUAUUUUUAGGUGCCAACACUAGUGGCCUUUAUCUCUCUCUUUCGAUAUGUUUUCAUUCAGCUGUAAUAUGUGAAGAUCGGUUCAUCAACCUCUGUUUCAGGGACGGUUCAGAUCUGAUUUUUUACCUGCAGCUGUUUAAUUAUAUGACUGCAUUUCGACUAGACUUACAGUAUAUCACUUGCAUGACAAAAACAACCAAUAAAUUAGUGAGCUCUAA